rnacentral:tmRNA from 1 species
GGGGCUGAUAAGGUUUCGACAGGGAUUUGCAGGGUAUAAAGAGCAGUCGACUGGUCUCGAUAACGACCACAAGCCUAUAAAUGGCAACAAUCAACGUUUAGCGUUCGCUGCUUAAUUAAAUUCAAGCUUUUUUCCCACGUUGGGAAGCGAACCAUCAAUAAAGGAACGGACCUCUUGGUCCUUAAUUGGUGUAAUUUAAAGAGGAUAAGAUUAUAUGAUGCUAAUAAAUAUAAUACGAAAAUCUUAUUAGCUAGUAAGAGUUAGAUUCGUUUAUUAAUCUUACCUCUUAUGAAAUUUAUUAGUAAACUAAACUGUAGGGCUUUAUAUGUGGCAAUCUUUGGACCGGGGUUCAAUUCCCCGCAACUCCACCA